AGGGCGCACGGUGGAUGCCUUGGCACUAGAAGCCGAUGAAGGACGUUACUAACGACGAUAUGCUUUGGGGAGCUGUAAGUAAGCUUUGAUCCAGAGAUUUCCGAAUGGGGAAACCCAGCAUGAGUUAUGUCAUGUUAUCGAUAUGUGAAUACAUAGCAUAUCAGAAGGCACACCCGGAGAACUGAAACAUCUUAGUACCCGGAGGAAGAGAAAGAAAAUUCGAUUCCCUUAGUAGCGGCGAGCGAAACGGGAAGAGCCCAAACCAACAAGCUUGCUUGUUGGGGUUGUAGGACACUCUAUACGGAGUUACAAAGGACGACAUUAGACGAAUCAUCUGGAAAGAUGAAUCAAAGAAGGUAAUAAUCCUGUAGUCGAAAAUGUUGUCUCUCUUGAGUGGAUCCUGAGUACGACGGAGCACGUGAAAUUCCGUCGGAAUCUGGGAGGACCAUCUCCUAAGGCUAAAUACUCUCUAGUGACCGAUAGUGAACCAGUACCGUGAGGGAAAGGUGAAAAGCACCCCGGAAGGGGAGUGAAAUAGAACCUGAAACCGUGUGCUUACAAGUAGUCAGAGCCCGUUAAUGGGUGAUGGCGUGCCUUUUGUAGAAUGAACCGGCGAGUUACGAUUUGAUGCAAGGUUAAGCAGUAAAUGUGGAGCCGUAGCGAAAGCGAGUCUGAAUAGGGCGUUUAGUAUUUGGUCGUAGACCCGAAACCAGGUGAUCUACCCUUGGUCAGGUUGAAGUUCAGGUAACACUGAAUGGAGGACCGAACCGACUUACGUUGAAAAGUGAGCGGAUGAACUGAGGGUAGCGGAGAAAUUCCAAUCGAACCUGGAGAUAGCUGGUUCUCUCCGAAAUAGCUUUAGGGCUAGCCUCAAGUGAUGAUUAUUGGAGGUAGAGCACUGUUUGGACGAGGGGCCCCUCUCGGGUUACCGAAUUCAGACAAACUCCGAAUGCCAAUUAAUUUAACUUGGGAGUCAGAACAUGGGUGAUAAGGUCCGUGUUCGAAAGGGAAACAGCCCAGACCACCAGCUAAGGUCCCAAAAUAUAUGUUAAGUGGAAAAGGAUGUGGCGUUGCCCAGACAACUAGGAUGUUGGCUUAGAAGCAGCCAUCAUUUAAAGAGUGCGUAAUAGCUCACUAGUCGAGUGACACUGCGCCGAAAAUGUACCGGGGCUAAACAUAUUACCGAAGCUGUGGAUUGUCCUUUGGACAAUGGUAGGAGAGCGUUCUAAGGGCGUUGAAGCAUGAUCGUAAGGACAUGUGGAGCGCUUAGAAGUGAGAAUGCCGGUGUGAGUAGCGAAAGACGGGUGAGAAUCCCGUCCACCGAUUGACUAAGGUUUCCAGAGGAAGGCUCGUCCGCUCUGGGUUAGUCGGGUCCUAAGCUGAGGCCGACAGGCGUAGGCGAUGGAUAACAGGUUGAUAUUCCUGUACCACCUAUAAUCGUUUUAAUCGAUGGGGGGACGCAGUAGGAUAGGCGAAGCGUGCGAUUGGAUUGCACGUCUAAGCAGUAAGGCUGAGUAUUAGGCAAAUCCGGUACUCGUUAAGGCUGAGCUGUGAUGGGGAGAAGACAUUGAGUCUUCGAGUCGUUGAUUUCACACUGCCGAGAAAAGCCUCUAGAUAGAAAAUAGGUGCCCGUACCGCAAACCGACACAGGUAGUCAAGAUGAGAAUUCUAAGGUGAGCGAGCGAACUCUCGUUAAGGAACUCGGCAAAAUGACCCCGUAACUUCGGGAGAAGGGGUGCUCUUUAGGGUUAACGCCCAGAAGAGCCGCAGUGAAUAGGCCCAAGCGACUGUUUAUCAAAAACACAGGUCUCUGCUAAACCGUAAGGUGAUGUAUAGGGGCUGACGCCUGCCCGGUGCUGGAAGGUUAAGAGGAGUGGUUAGCUUCUGCGAAGCUACGAAUCGAAGCCCCAGUAAACGGCGGCCGUAACUAUAACGGUCCUAAGGUAGCGAAAUUCCUUGUCGGGUAAGUUCCGACCCGCACGAAAGGCGUAACGAUUUGGGCACUGUCUCAACGAGAGACUCGGUGAAAUCAUAGUACCUGUGAAGAUGCAGGUUACCCGCGACAGGACGGAAAGACCCCGUGGAGCUUUACUGUAGCCUGAUAUUGAAAUUCGGCACAGCUUGUACAGGAUAGGUAGGAGCCUUUGAAACGUGAGCGCUAGCUUACGUGGAGGCGCUGGUGGGAUACUACCCUAGCUGUGUUGGCUUUCUAACCCGCACCACUUAUCGUGGUGGGAGACAGUGUCAGGCGGGCAGUUUGACUGGGGCGGUCGCCUCCUAAAAGGUAACGGAGGCGCUCAAAGGUUCCCUCAGAAUGGUUGGAAAUCAUUCAUAGAGUGUAAAGGCAUAAGGGAGCUUGACUGCGAGACCUACAAGUCGAGCAGGGUCGAAAGACGGACUUAGUGAUCCGGUGGUUCCGCAUGGAAGGGCCAUCGCUCAACGGAUAAAAGCUACCCCGGGGAUAACAGGCUUAUCUCCCCCAAGAGUUCACAUCGACGGGGAGGUUUGGCACCUCGAUGUCGGCUCAUCGCAUCCUGGGGCUGUAGUCGGUCCCAAGGGUUGGGCUGUUCGCCCAUUAAAGCGGUACGCGAGCUGGGUUCAGAACGUCGUGAGACAGUUCGGUCCCUAUCCGUCGUGGGCGUAGGAAAUUUGAGAGGAGCUGUCCUUAGUACGAGAGGACCGGGAUGGACAUACCUCUGGUGUACCAGUUGUCGUGCCAACGGCAUAGCUGGGUAGCUAUGUGUGGACGGGAUAAGUGCUGAAAGCAUCUAAGCAUGAAGCCCCCCUCAAGAUGAGAUUUCCCAACUUCGGUUAU
rnacentral:rRNA from 5 species